ACGGAGGGAGCUAGCGUUGUUCGGAAUUACUGGGCGUAAAGCGCACGUAGGCGGCUACUCAAGUCAGAGGUGAAAGCCCGGGGCUCAACCCCGGAACUGCCUUUGAAACUAGGUAGCUAGAAUCUUGGAGAGGUCAGUGGAAUUCCGAGUGUAGAGGUGAAAUUCGUAGAUAUUCGGAAGAACACCAGUGGCGAAGGCGACUGACUGGACAAGUAUUGACGCUGAGGUGCGAAAGCGUGGGGAGCAAACAGG
rnacentral:rRNA from 1 species